rfam:Rattus norvegicus chromosome 5, whole genome shotgun sequence.
GGGGAUUUAGCUCAGUGGUAGAGCGCUUGCCUAGCAAGCUUCAAGGCCCUGGGUUCGGUCCCCAGCUCCG